rnacentral:rRNA from 1 species
GAUGAACGCUGGCGGCGUGCCUAAUACAUGCAAGUCGAGCGGACAGACGAUGAGCUUGCUCCUUUGACGUUAGGGGCGGACGGGUGAGUAACACGUGUAUAACCUACCUAUAAUACUGGGAAAAUCUCGGGAAAGCGGAGCUUAUACGGUAUAACAUGCUGAAGCGCAGGGGUCAACAGUAAAAGACGGUCUUUGGGGCACUUAUAGAUGCUUCCGCGCCGCAUGAGCUAGUUGGUAAGGUACCAGGCUAUGAAGGGUACGAUGCGUAGCCGGACGGAGGGGGUGAUCGGCCACACUGGAACUGAGACACGGUCCAGAGUCCUAGGGGAGGCAGCAGUAGGGAAUCGUGAGCAAUGGGCGGAAGCCUGACGGAGCAACGCCGCGUGAGUGAAGAAGGUCUUCGGGUGGUAAAACUCUGCUAUUAGGGAAGAACCAAUGUGUACGUAACUAUGCGCGUGUUGACGGUAACUAAUCAGAAAGCCACGGCUAACUACGUG